GGAGCCGUGGUGGAGUGGUUUACCAUGCCGGCCUGUCACGCCGGAGGUCGUGGGUUCAAAUCCCAUCGGCUUCGCCA
rnacentral:tRNA from 1 species